UUCUUUAAAAAUGCUAACAGAGGUUCUCUGAUGAUGCUAACAGAGGUUCUUUAAAGGUGCUAACAGAGGUUCUUUCUAGGUGCUAAUAGAGGUUCUUUAAAGGUGCUAAUAGAGGUUCUUUAAAGGUGCUAACAGAGGUUCUUUAAAGGUGCUAACAGAGGUUCUUUAAAGGUGCUAACAGAGGUUCUUUAAAGGUGCUAACAGAGGUUCUUUAAAGGUGCUAAUAGAGGUUCUUUAAAGGUGCUAACAGAGGUUCUUUCUAGGUGCUAACAGAGGUUCUUUCUAGGUGCUAACAGAGGUUCUUUAAAGGUGCUAAUAGAGGUUCUUUAAAGGUGCUAACAGAGGUUCUUUAAAGGUGCUAACAGAGGUUCUUUAAAGGUGCUAACAGAGGUUCUUUAAAGGUGCUAACAGAGGUUACAGGAACAGUUUAAUAACAGAAACCCGUUUUUAGAACUGUGGACUCAAACCGGAACAAUUUAAUGAA